CGGGUCGGGGCAAGGGCGGCAAGGGCCUGGGCAAAGGCGGAGCAAAACGACACCGUAAGGUCCUCCGCGACAACAUCCAAGGCAUCACCAAGCCCGCGAGGCGGCCUCAUCUACGAGGAGACACGCGGCGUCCUCAAGAUCUUCCUCGAGAACGUCAUCCUCGACGCCGUCACCUACACCGAGCACGCCUGCCGCAAGACCGUCACCGCCAUGGACGUCGUCUACGCCCUCAAGCGCCAGGGCCGAACCCUCUACGGCUUCGGGGGUUAAUCUUGUAAAUUCACCAAAAUAGAAUCUUGGAAUCUUUUUUGUAAUAUUCACCGAUCCAAUGAAGUUGUCACUUUCCUUCAAGUUUUUUGUCCCCCGGUUGCUCUCACGUCCAUUUCAAUCGCG
rnacentral:lncRNA from 1 species